GACGAACGCUGGCGGCGUGCUUAACACAUGCAAGUCGAACGGAAAGGCCCUGCUUUUGUGGGGUGCUCGAGUGGCGAACGGGUGAGUAACACGUGAGUAACCUGCCCUUGACUUUGGGAUAACUUCAGGAAACUGGGGCUAAUACCGGAUAGGAGCUCCUGCUGCAUGGUGGGGGUUGGAAAGUUUCGGCGGUUGGGGAUGGACUCGCGGCUUAUCAGCUUGUUGGUGGGGUAGUGGCUUACCAAGGCUUUGACGGGUAGCCGGCCUGAGAGGGUGACCGGUCACAUUGGGACUGAGAUACGGCCCAGACUCCUACGGGAGGCAGCAGUGGGGAAUAUUGCACAAUGGGCGGAAGCCUGAUGCAGCAACGCCGCGUGCGGGAUGACGGCCCUCGGGUUGUAAACCGCUUUCGCCUGUGACGAAGCGUGAGUGACGGUAAUGGGUAAAGAAGCACCGGCUAACUACGUG
rnacentral:rRNA from 1 species